rnacentral:lncRNA from 10 species
UAAUAGGAGAAAAGGCAUGCAAAUUUAUUACAUACAUGCACAGGAGUCCCACAAAAUGUGAGACUCUAGUAAGGGCCAGACUGAUGAAGUCUAAAUAGCAUUUGAGCUCCAAAAACUGGGGCCUGAGGUUUCUGGGAGGAGGUGGCAGCAGACGCUAGGAGGUUGAGGGGAGGAAAUGCAUGGCAAACAAAGGCUGUCUUGUCAUGCAGAUAAAACCUCUCAAGCAGCCCAGUCCUCAGAAGAGAUGGUAUCACCUUCAGUAUCCUUUCCUGUGAGUUAAUUGUCCAUGUUUUAUGAGAUGCUAGGGAAAGGGCUCAAGACAAUGGCAUUCCUUCUGCAGGAACUUCCCUUAGAAACAAAAGAGAACAUCAGAGAAGGCCCCUCCCUGCGCUUCAGGAGGGUUUUGGGAGGGAAAAGGAGUGAGCGAUGGUCAGAUACUUUAGUUCAAAGCAUUCAGCCUCCCACAGCUUCAUACUUUGGGGUAUCAUUUUCUGAGCCCCACCACCAAUUUCCUAGGAUAGGAUUUUUAAAAUUUAACUCAAUAAAUGCAGGGGUGGGCCAAGCGCCGUGGCCCACGCCCAUAAUCCGAGCACUUUGGGAGGCUGAGGCGGGUGGAUCACGAGGUUAGGAGAUCGAGACCAUCCUGGCUAACAUGGUGAAAUCCUGUCUGUACUAAAAAUACAAAAAAUUAGCCAGGCGUCGUGGCAGGCGCCUGUAGUCUCAGCUACUCAGGAGGCUGAGGCAGAAGAACUGCUUGAACUCGGGAGGCGGAGGUUGCAGUGAGCUGAGGUCACGCCACUGCACUCCUGGGCAACACAGUGAGACUCCAUCUCAAAAAAAUAAAUAAAAUAAAAUAAUAAAAUAAAUGCAGGGGUGGCACAUAGUAUGACUUUUUUCCCAAAUUUUUAUCCAGUUAUCCCAGCACCGCUUGUUAAAGCUUCCUCUGCCUGCUCCAUGCUCUGCUGACCCAUGCCACCAUGGAGGCCCCU